UGAGGUAGAGGUUGCGGUUUUUAAGAGUACAUAGAAAGAGAGACAGAAAGCUCAUUGACGUCUAUGGAAAGGGAACACCGCCGAAGCGCUGCAUGAUUUCUGCAUGCGGAGAGCUGGGACUGUGCCAUAAUAGGGACAGGACUGUCAUGGUGAGCGAUUGCCAUGAAGAACUAUC
rnacentral:ncRNA from 1 species